rfam:Camelus ferus unplaced genomic scaffold scaffold688, whole genome shotgun sequence.
GAGGGUAUAGCUCAAGCGGUGGAGCACAUGCUUAGCAUGCACGAGGUCCUGGGUUCAAUCCCCAGCACCUCCU